rnacentral:rRNA from 1 species
AUUGAACGCUGGCGGCAGGCUUAACACAUGCAAGUCGAGCGGGGUGAUGGUGCUUGCACUAUCACUUAGCGGCGGACGGGUGAGUAAUGCUUAGGAAUCUGCCUAUUAGUGGGGGACAACAUCUCGAAAGGGAUGCUAAUACCGCAUACGUCCUACGGGAGAAAGCAGGGGAUCACUUGUGACCUUGCGCUAAUAGAUGAGCCUAAGUCGGAUUAGCUAGUUGGUGGGGUAAAGGCCUACCAAGGCUACGAUCUGUAGCGGGUCUGGGAGGAUGAUCCGCCACACGGGGACUGAGACACGGCCCAGACACAUACGGAGGGCAGCAGUGGGGAAUAUUGGACAAUGGGGGAAACCCUGAUACAGCCAUGCCGCGUGUGUGAAGAAGGCCUUAUGGUUGUAAAGCACUUUAAGCGAGGAGGAGGCUCUUUUGGUUAAUACCCAAGAUGAGUGGACGUUACUCGCAGAAUAAGCACCGGCUAACUCUGUGCCAGCCGCCGCGGUAA